rnacentral:rRNA from 1 species
GUAAAGUACUUUCAGCAGUGAGGAAGGUGGAGUCGUUAAUAGCGGCCUCAUUUGACGUUAGCUGCAGAAGAAGCACCGGCUAACUCCGUGCCAGCAGCCGCGGUAAUACGGAGGGUGCGAGCGUUAAUCGGAAUUACUGGGCGUAAAGCGCAUGCAGGUGGUUUGUUAAGUCAGAUGUGAAAGACCCGGGGCGUCAACCUCGGAAUUGCAUUUGAAACUAGGCAGACUAGAGUACUGUAGAGGGGGGUAGGAAUUUCAGGUGUAGCGGUGAAAUGCGUAGAGAUCUGAAGGAAUACCGGUGGCGAAGGCGGCCCCCUGGACAGAUACUGACACUCAGAUGCGAAAGCGUGGGGAGCAAACAGGAUUAGAUACCCUGGUAG